UACGAAGGGGGCUAGCGUUGUUCGGAUUUACUGGGCGUAAAGCGCACGUAGGCGGAUCUUUAAGUCAGAGGUGAAAGCCCAGAGCUCAACUCUGGAAUGGCCUUUGAGACUAGAGGACUUGGGUACGGGAGAGGUGAGUGGAAUUCCGAGUGUAGAGGUGAAAUUCGUAGAUAUUCGGAAGAACACCAGUGGCGAAGGCGGCUCACUGGCCCGUUACCGACGCUCAGGCGCGACAGCGUGGGGAGCAAACAGG
rnacentral:rRNA from 1 species